rnacentral:lncRNA from 1 species
GUGGUUUUGUCUUUUUCUUUUUUAUCUAUUUCCGCUGAAUCUUUGAAAAAUCAUAAUAAAUCACAGAAAAAUCAUAACUGAAAAUAUUGUUCGCUGAUUUAUCGUGAGAGAAAUAUAUUGUUAACUAGCAGGAAAAAUACGGCUUAUAAGAUAAGCAAACUGGUCAGAUUACCAUCAAUUUACAUAUGUUAAGGUCACGUGUUA